AUUGCGUAAACUUACGAGGACAUUGUAUAGAAUAGGUAACACAGCUCAAGUUUACAUAAAUGUACGAGGACAACAUGCGUUACAAAUGUAACACAGUCUUUGUUUGUAUAAACUUAUGAGGACAUAUCAACACAGAUAAAGUUUCUGUAAACUUAUGAGGACAUCACACAAAUCAAGUUUGCAGCAACACACGAGGACUUAUUGCACAGGUAUUUCACACAUACCAAGUUUGCGCAAUCUUAUGAGGACAUUGUAUUGAAUAGGUAACACAGCUCAAGUUUGCAUAAAUGUACGAGGACAACAUGUGUUGCAAAUGAAACACAGUCUUUGUUUGUAUAAACUUAUGAGGACAUAUAAACUUUAUCUGUUUAUUUUGCACAGGUAUUUAUCUCUUUUAGCGAUCAUGAGGAGUUUAUCUCAACAAGGUUCCACUUUACAUCAUUCAGAUACAAGCAAAUUUAAACACUUCAAGUACACAUGUAGAUCAUUUUCAAAGAUUUGUUUUUAAUAAAACUCAACACUGACAACCGGAACUUGACAUACAUGCAGUUAGUCAUUCAUAAUGCAUAAAUAACUUUUCUCUUACAUGUACAAAAUCUCAGAAAUCACCUCUUCAUUUUUCUUAAAUGAUAAUCUACACAAAGUCUGAUCAUUGUGAUCAUUUAUCGAUCAUUAAACACAGAAUUUUCAAAAUGAAUAUAAUCACUAAGAUUGUAAAAAAUCCUUAAAUUAGCAGCAUGUUUCUGCAUUUGUUAAUGUGAUAUUGAAAGAUUUGGUUGUGGUCGAUUGUGCAGACAUUCAGUAAUAAAAAGAAACGUCAAUUUUAAGCAUUUUCUGGAGGUAACCCCCC